rnacentral:lncRNA from 1 species
GGUCUUGAACUCCUCACCUUAGGUGAUCCACCCGUCACGGCCUCACACAGAUGCUGGGAGGGGGAGCUGGUAAAGCUCUUCAAGCCGUCAGAGCCCAGACUCUGUCUUAGCCACUCCCCUCCACGGUCCCUCCAGAGAAAGGAACUGGGGCAAGUAGAAGUAACUUGGCUCCGAGUCACCAGAGCUCCAAAUGGGGGACUACUCAAAUGUCUAUCAACCAGGAAUGGAUAAACAAAUUGUGGUAUAUUUCUUUAAUGAAAUACUAUACAGCAAUAAAAAGAACAAGCUGUUGGCCAGGCACAGUGGCUCACGUCUGUAAUCCCAACACUUUGGGAGACCAACGUGGGAGGAUUGCUUGAGCCCAGGAGUUGGAGACCAGUCUGGGAAACAUAGUGAAACCUCAUCUCUACAAAAAAAUUUAAAAAUUAGCCAAGCCUAGUGGCCUCCCAGGGAGGGAUUUAGGGAAGGCUUCCUAGAGAAGGGAGGGUCUGAGCUGAGAUCUGCAGGAUGAUCGGGGGAAGCAGAAGAGGAACGUGUUCAGGCAACAGGCACAGCCUGUGCAAAGGCCCAGAGCUGAGAGUGCAACCGUGCCUGGUGGGAGAGGUGCCAGCUGUGGCUGGUGCAGGCACUGGAGCCGGGGUGUGAGGCAGAGGAUGGGAGGGCCUGGGCUGUCAGGGCUGGCCACGCAAGGCAGGCAUUUGCAGCAGUGAGAAGGUUGUGCUUGAUCUGAGGGGCUCUGGGAGGCCCGAGAAGGAGGUCAGGGCCUCGUCAAGUGUGAAAAAGGGUAAGACAUGGGAGCUAGCAUGAGCUCUCAUGUGCUCUCACUGAGGCACACUUACGCACACGCACACGCACACACACAGGACCACGCUCAGAGGACGCGCCUUCACCUCCAGCCCCCUUUAAAUGCCCCAGAAUCCCACCACCAGUGGCGANNNNNNNNNNNNNNNNNNNNNNNNNNNNNNNNNN